UACGUAGGGGGCAAGCGUUAUCCGGAUUUACUGGGUGUAAAGGGAGCGCAGACGGCAGCGCAAGUCUGAUGUGAAAUCCCGGGGCUCAACCCCGGAACUGCAUUGGAAACUGCGCAGCUCGAGUAUCGGAGAGGUAAGCGGAAUUCCUAGUGUAGCGGUGAAAUGCGUAGAUAUUAGGAGGAACACCGGCGGCGAAGGCGGCUUACUGGACGAAGACUGACAUUGAGGCUCGAAAGCGUGGGGAGCAAACAGGAUUAGAUACCCGCGUA
rnacentral:rRNA from 1 species